UUGUAUUAUUGAGCCACUUUACAGAUACCACCAAAAGCAACUUGCUACUGCAAUUCAUCUCUUGUAAGAAUUAUUAGAGAGAGAGAGGGAGCUCUUCCUUCAAACAUUCAAACCUUCAUCCAUUUCAUUUCAUUAAACUUUUUUUCUAACUUCUCUUAAUACGUGAACUCGGAAAACAUAUCUUUGUUGAAAUCCGAAUCUGAGAACUAUUACUCUCAUUUUUACCCCAUAAUGUUUGUUUCUUCUCUUGAUGAAGUCAGCUUUCAAUUUUAAUUAUGAUUGAUGAAUCAGAAAAUUGAAGAUAAUAAACAGGCAUAAGAGAAGACAAAAGUUUCAAGUUGGUUUCACUUGUUAACUUAACUGAAGCCAGUUUCUUUGUUGACGAAAACUGAAAUCAAGAAAAAAAGUCUGAGAUCAUAUGAAAAAGGAAGUCUUGUACGGAGGAUGGCUCAAAAUGAAAUUGAAGAUAUGUUAGAUCACCUGAGAAGGAUCAAGAGUGGAGGUAAUCUGGAUAGGGUCAAGAUUAAUCGAAUUGAGAAACUUGAAAUGGUGUUAAAGUAUCAUCAUGUUCUUUUGCCUGAUUCCUUCGUCAAACUCAAAAAGGACAAAUGGAUUGCGAAAAUGGUUCAGUGGGUAUUGGAUGGAAUUCCGGAUGAAUGUAAAACUAACCUUAAUUUAACAAGGUUAGAAUUACAUUUGUUGGAAUUCUUUGAAGGUAAAAUCAGUUUAAGUUACAACCAUGAGUUGAAUGAUUCUGAUCUGUCGAAAUAUAUGGAUUGUGUUGGAAAGAAUCUAAAUGAUGUACUGAUGAUUUUACUGCAAAGGGCUAGGUAUGACCCUCCAGAAGAAAGCCUUGAAAUGCACAGAUUUAUAAAGCAACUUAAAAUUGUUCAAAAGAAAAUGAGAUUUUUGAGAUACUUAUAUGUUACAGAGAUAAAUGGUUACGUCAACCAUGAGAAGUUGGAAUGUUUGGAGACUCGAAUGCAUUUCAUGGCUUACAACGUGGGACAACUUUGUCUUGCUAUUUUAGGUUACGAUGUUUCUAAUUUUGUAGAUGAUGUUGAUAAGGUUGAUGAUGAGGAGGAGGAGGAUGAGGAUGGGGAUGGGGAUGAGGAUGAUAUCUUGAAUAGACCUCCUUACUUAUUAUUCUUGAUUAUCUUAGUAGAGCUGGAAAUAAAGAAAUUUUUUCUCGGUGAACUAAAUGCUUCCAAGUUUACUCAAUCAAGAACUUUCAAGGACAAGAAAUUACCAAAAGGAUUUUCUCAUCAUCUCCAUAGUCUAUUGAUGUAUCUUAGAAACAAAAAGCUUGAGAAAUUUCCUAAUAAUAACUCUCCUCAAAAUAUUGAUAUAGCAAUAGAGUUCUUGUUGGUUUUCCUUGAUGCUGAUGUCGCAAAUCAUGUAAUUAAUGGUAACUGGUUGAAUGAAGUUAUGGAAAAGGUUGGAGCUAUAGCGGGUGAUGUUCUAUAUGUAAUUCAAAAGCUUCUUCCUAGCUCUAUAAAAAAAGAUGACAAUAGUAAAAUAAGUCUUUGCUCAAUACAGAUAUGGGAGAAAACUAAAGAUCUGAAGGCACAAGUGGAGACGUACUAUAAAUCCUUAAAAUUCACUCCAUCUCAAUUCCCCACUGUUGGUGGAUGGAGCUUUCUGGAUUCUCUUCUAAGGAAACUGAAGGAGAUGUCGAAAUCUAAAUCUUGUUUAGAUUUCCUGAUGAAACCUCUUUUGGGGAAUUUGGAGAAAGAGCUAUCAGCUCUUACAUCCAUUUUAGAGAAGGAUCUGUCAUCUUUAUCAUCCAUUUUACGAGAUGUCGCCAAGGUGCACCAUGAACAUGAAAUUCUUCAAGAUCUUCACAGGCGUACUAUCAAUUGGGCAUAUGAAGCGGAAGUUGCGAUUGACUCUAUUCUUGCUCAGUAUAAUGUCUUUUGGCAUAUUUUUUGCUCACUUCCAACAAUCUUAAAAGAAAUCAAGCAAAUUAAUGUGCAGGUGACUCAGAUGUGGUCAGCGGACAUUGCUCUUAAGCCUUGCUAUGUGGUAGCACCAUUUGAAUACUUUCCAACUCGACAUAUCAAUCCAGUGACUGAUGAGGAUAUAGUGGGUUUUGGGAAUGACAUAGAAAAAAUGUUUCAGUAUCUGAUUAGAGGUACAAAUGAGCUAGACGUCAUCCCAAUUGUAGGCAUGGGGGGACAAGGGAAAACGACAGUUGCUAGAAAGGUGUACAAUAGUGACAACAUUGUUUCUCAUUUUGAUGUUCGAGCAUGGUGCAUCGUUUCCCAAACAUAUAACCGGAGAAAGCUAUUACAAGAGAUUUUGAGUCAAGUUACCGGUUCCAAGGACAAGGGAUAUGAGGAUGAUAUCCUUGCUGAUGAGUUGAGGAAAAGCUUAAUGGGCAAGAGAUAUCUCAUUGUCUUGGAUGAUAUGUGGGAUUGUAUGGCAUGGGAUGACUUAAGGCUUUCCUUUCCAGAUUCCGGAAAUAGAAGCAGAAUAGUAGUAACAACUCGACUUGAGAAAGUGGGCGAACAAGUCAAUUGCCAUACUGAUCCUUAUUCUCUUCCAUUCCUCACAAAAGAAGAGAGUUGUGAAUUGUUGCAGAAAAAAGUUUUUCAAAAGGAAGAUUUCCCGCCUGAACUACAAGAUGUGAGUCAAGCAGUUGCAGAAAAAUGCAAAGGACUGCCCCUAGGGGUUGUCUUGGUAGCUGGAAUAAUCAAAAAAAGGAAAAUGGAAGAAUCUUGGUGGAAUGAGGUGAAAGAUGAUUUAUUUGACCACCUUGAUUGUGAGUCGGAAGAAUAUAGUCUUUCAACUAUGCAGUUGAGUUACUAUAACUUAACCGACUGUUUAAAGCCUUGUCUUCUUUAUAUGGGGAUGUUUCAGGAGGAUGCAAUAAUUCGAGUGUCUGAAUUGAUAAGUCUAUGGAUUGCGGAAGGAUUUGUGCAGAGCAUUGAAUCUGGGAGAUUGAUGGAAGAGGCAGCUGAAGGUUACUUGAUGGAUCUCAUUCAGAGUAACGUGGUAAUGGUUUCAAAUAGAAGGUAUAAUGGUAAGGUCAAAUACUGUCAGGUUCAUGAUUAGUGCUUCACUUUUGCUUGGAGAAGAGUCGAGAAGAAAAGCUUAUGUUGGCAGUGAAGGGUCAUCAUAGCCAGUUUCAACCUUUUGAAUGGAAGGAACGUCGAGUGAGCUUCUGUUUCACUGAAGAUCUUUCCAAGUUUGCAUCUGUAGGAUCCAAAACACGGAAGCCUUUCCACCAACACUUGCGGAGAACCUUAUGCCAUGCUCAUGAUCGUGCUCAAGUGUAUUCUGCGCCUAGAGCUGAAAUCCUUUUAGAUGGUCUUUUCUUGUUGCCUUUGUUAUUAUUUUACAACCUGUCAAUACAUUGCUUCUUCUUUGUUUUUUGUAAUAUAAUAGUUGUUUCCCUUCAUCUUACACCUGCAAAAUUCAAUAAAGUAUACAAUUGAAAGCUGGCUGAAUA